rnacentral:rRNA from 1 species
CCUACGGGAGGCUGCAGUAGGGAAUCUUCCACAAUGGGCGAAAGCCUGAUGGAGCAACGCCGCGUGGGUGAAGAAGGUCUUCGGAUCGUAAAACCCUGUUGUUAGAGAAGAAAGUGCGUGAGUGUAACUGUUCACGUCUCGACGUUAUCUAACCAGAACGCCACGGCUAACUACGUGCCAGCAGCCGCGGUAAUACGUAGGUGGCAAGCGUUAUCCGGAUUUAUUGGGCGUAAAGGGAACGCAGGCGGUCUUUUAAGUCUGAUGUGAAAUCCUUCGGCUUAACCGGAGUAGUGCAUUGGAAACUGGGAGACUUGAGUGCAGAAGAGGAGAGUGGAACUCCAUGUGUAGCGGUGAAAUGCGUAGAUAUAUGGAAGAACACCAGUGGCGAAAGCGGCUCUCUGGUCUGUAACUGACGCUGAGGUUCGAAAGCGUGGGUAGCAAACAGGAUUAGAUACCCGGGUAGUC